UGGGGAAUAUUGGACAAUGGGCGGAAGCCUGAUCCAGCAAUGCCGCGUGUGUGAAGAAGGCCUGAGGGUUGUAAAGCACUUUCAGUGGGGAGAAAGAUACUAUCGUUAAUACCGGUGGUGGAUGACGUUACCCACAGAAGAAGCACCGGCUAACUCUGUGCCAGCAGCCGCGGUAAUACAGAGGGUGCGAGCGUUAAUCGGAAUUACUGGGCGUAAAGGGUGCGUAGGUGGUUUGUUAAGUUAGAUGUGAAAUUCCUGGGCUUAACCUGGGGACUGCGUCUGAUACUGAUAGACUAGAGUACUGUGGAGGAAAGUGGAAUUUCCGGUGUAGCGGUGAAAUGCGUAGAUAUCGGAAGGAACAUCAGUGGCGAAGGCGACUUUCUGGACAGAUACUGACACUGAGGCACGAAAGCAUGGGGAGCAAACAGG
rnacentral:rRNA from 1 species